rnacentral:piRNA from 1 species
UGGGUAAAAUGCUGCUGCAGUAGC